rnacentral:rRNA from 1 species
AUUGAACGCUGGCGGCAGGCCUAACACAUGCAAGUCGAACGGCAGCACAGAAGAGCUUGCUCUUUGGGUGGCGAGUGGCGGACGGGUGAGUAAUGUCUGGGAAACUGCCCGAUGGAGGAGGAUAACUACUGGAAACGGUAGCUAAUACCGCAUAACGUCGCGAGACCAAAGUGGGGGACCUUCGGGCCUCACACCAUCGGAUGUGCCCAGAUGGGAUUAGCUAGUAGGUGGGGUAAUGGCUCACCUAGGCGAUGAUCCCUAGCUGGUCUGAGAGGAUGACCAGCCACACUGGAACUGAGACACGGUCCAGACUCCGAAGGGAGGAAGCAGUGGGGAAUAUUGCACAAUGGGCGCAAGCCUGAUGCAGCCAUGCCGCGUGUAUGAAGAAGGCCUUCGGGUUGUAAAGUACUUUCAGCGGGGAGGAAGGCGGUGAGGUUAGUAACCUCGCCGAUUGACGUUACCCGCAGAAGAAGCACCGGCUAACUCCGUGCCAGCCGCCGCCGUAA